AUUGAACGCUGGCGGCGGGCCUAACACAUGCAAGUCGAACGAGUGGCGGACGGGUGAGUAAUGUCUGGGAAACUGCCUGAUGGCGGGGGAUAACGACUGGAAACGGUGGCCAAUAACGCAUACCCUCAGAUGGGCUCAGCUGGGAUUUGCUUGUGGGUGGGGUAACGGCUCACCAGGGCGACGAUCCCUAGCCGGUCUGGGAGGAUGACCAGCCACCCGGGAACUGUGAGACGGUCCUGCCUCCUAGGGGAGGAAGCGGGGGGGAAUAUUGGACAAUGGGCGAAAGCCUGAUGCAGCCAUGCCGCGUGUAUGAGUAAGGCCUUCGGGUUGUAGAGUACUUACAGCGGGGAGGCGUUACCCGGUGAAGAAGCACCGGCUAACUCCGUGCCAGCAGCCGCGGUAAUAC
rnacentral:rRNA from 1 species